CAGUAGCCGCGGGAAUACGAGGGGGGCAAGCGUUGUUCGGAAUUAUUGGGCGUAAAGGGUGCGUAGGCGGUUUGGCAAGUCUUAUGUGAAAUCUUCGGGCUCAACCCGAAGUCUGCAUGAGAAACUGCCGGGCUUGAGUAUGGGAGAGGUGAGUGGAAUUUCCGGUGUAGCGGUGAAAUGCGUAGAUAUCGGAAGGAACACCUGUGGCGAAAGCGGCUCACUGGACCAUAACUGACGCUGAGGCACGAAAGCUAGGGGAGCAAAUGGGAUUAGAUACCCCCGUAGUCCCUGUCUCUUAUAU
rnacentral:rRNA from 1 species